UUUAGGUCACUUUUUGGACAGAAUUUGAGCUUGGUAUCUUCAUGAAAAAUGGAGCAUUUUAGAUCUAGUUUCAUCUCCAAUUGGUAAUUGGACUCAUACCAAUUGGAGCAACAAAAUUUCAAUUAUAGCCAUGUGAAUGAGCAAGGUUCAAGCUAUCUAGAUAUGGACAUUACCACAUUCACACUUCAAUUCAAUUCCAUG
rnacentral:misc_RNA from 1 species